CCUUUCCAACACAAACCAUUCUAUGACUCUGUGAAUGUGCAGCACAUUUCCCUGUGGUGGAGGAAUUGCAUCGGGGAGCAGACAUAUCCCUCCAUGGAGGAGGAUUAGCUGGAUGCUGAGGGUGACCCCAGCACAGAUAGUGCUCUGACAGCCCAUCCUGCAACAUCUGAGCAGGGUGCUGGUUACAAUGUCCAUCGAUAGCUGUGGCAAGUGAUGGAAACAGGUCUAGGAGUAUCCAAGAAGUCAGGAGGAACAGGAGAUGGGGCCAGAGUUGCAACAUAAGUCCGAGGUCCUUACAGAGACGAGGCUUCAGGAUUGUUCCAAAAUCUGGCCAGGAGACCAGAGCACCCCCAGAAAAGGUGGAUACACAGCUGGAGAGCCUGUUUUCCCAAAGGACCUUAAGGAAGGAGAAGGUGAGCAGCCGAUGGCCAGGCUAAGUACAUGAACACCACCUUAGCCCUGCGCCCAGGGAAAGGGCUGUGGGAUAACCAGCAGAUGGGGAGGUCAGUGGCUUACUUCAAGGAAGUUUCCUUCCUACCCCCCAAGCAGUACAGCAAUGCAAGUGCUGUAAUGCAGAAUGGUUUAUCUCCAUCCAAAAGCCACAGCUGCCUGUGUGUCCAGCCCAGGGCAUGUGGAGGAAGCCCAGCAGUCACAUCUGCACAUUUCCAAGGAAAAAUAAUGGAUGCAUAUAAAGCUAAUGCUUCUUGUUUUGGGGGUUUAUCCCUUUGAUUAUAUGGAGUCUUAUUCUGCAGGAGGUUCAGCUGAGGAGUGAGGUCCAGAUAUUGAAGCCUGAAUGCUCAUCUCAGCCUCACCAAAAGCACUGUGACUCUGGGCACAUCAUACAGUGUCCUCAUUCACCUUCCUACUCCCUUCCUCAUUCCCUUCCUUCUCCUUGGUGCAAGUGCUCUGGGU